UGGUGGAGUGAUUUGUCUGGUUAAUUCCGUUAACGAACGAGACCCCUACCUAUUAAAUAGUGCGUGGAGUGUUUUUCACUGCAUGGCGCUUCUUAAAGGGACGUGCGUUUUACUAAACGCAGGAAGAUAGGGGCAAUAACA
rnacentral:rRNA from 1 species